rnacentral:rRNA from 1 species
ACGUAGGUGGCAAGCGUUGUCCGGAAUUAUUGGGCGUAAAGCGCGCGCAGGCGGAUCAGUUAGUCUGUCUUAAAAGUUCGGGGCUUAACCCCGUGAUGGGAUGGAAACUGCUGAUCUAGAGUAUCGGAGAGGAAAGUGGAAUUCCUAGUGUAGCGGUGAAAUGCGUAGAUAUUAGGAAGAACACCAGUGGCGAAGGCGACUUUCUGGACGAAAACUGACGCUGAGGCGCGAAAGCCAGGGGAGCGAACGGGAUUAGAAACCCCGGU